rnacentral:rRNA from 1 species
GUAGGGAAUAUUGGACAAUGGGCGAAAGCCUGAUCCAGCAAUGCCGCGUGAGUGAUGAAGGCCUUAGGGUUGUAAAGCUCUUUUACCAGGGAUGAUAAUGACAGUACCUGGAGAAUAAGCUCCGGCUAACUCCGUGCCAGCAGCCGCGGUAAUACGGAGGGAGCUAGCGUUGUUCGGAAUUACUGGGCGUAAAGCGCGCGUAGGCGGCGAUUUAAGUCAGAGGUGAAAGCCCGGGGCUCAACCCCGGAAUAGCCUUUGAGACUGGAUUGCUAGAAUCCUGGAGAGGUGAGUGGAAUUCCGAGUGUAGAGGUGAAAUUCGUAGAUAUUCGGAAGAACACCAGUGGCGAAGGCGGCUCACUGGACAGGUAUUGACGCUGAGGUGCGAAAGCGUGGGGAGCAAACAGGAUUAGAAACCCUUGUAGUCC